rnacentral:lncRNA from 1 species
CUCCAGGACCCUGCUGGCACCUGGACAGGUGCUGUUGAGAUGGGACCAGGUGCUGUUUGAAGCAGAGCUCCAAGGUGUGAGACCUGGGAAACGAGCUUUGCUACUGCAUCUCUGAACCUCAGCACUUGCCAUCGUGAAGAACCAGAGCCCAACAGCUGUCUGUGGAGCUCAGGUGCAAAGACCUGGGAAUUACUGUGAGUGAGCCUGGAGGUCUCCAACCCACAGAAAGAAGGUCACACACAAACUCUUUGAGAUGGACCGAGUGACCAGAUACCCCAUCUUCAGCAAGCCCCACUCAGCACGUGUCACCGGCUUGGCCUUGGAUGAAGACACCAGCUACA